CAGCCGCCGCGGUAAUACGAAGGGUGCAAGCGUUAAUCGGAAUUACUGGGCGUAAAGCGUGCGUAGGCGGUUUGUUAAGUCUGUUGUGAAAUCCCCGGGCUCAACCUGGGAAUGGCAAUGGAUACUGGCAAGCUAGAGAGUGUCAGAGGAUGGUGGAAUUCCCGGUGUAGCGGUGAAAUGCGUAGAGAUCGGGAGGAACAUCAGUGGCGAAGGCGGCCAUCUGGGACAACACUGACGCUGAGGCACGAAAGCGUGGGGAGCAAACAGGAUUAGAGACCCCCGUAGUCCCUGUCUCUUAUAC
rnacentral:rRNA from 1 species